rnacentral:rRNA from 1 species
CGGCAUGCCUUACACAUGCAAGUCGAACGGCAGCACGGGAGCUUGCUCCUGGUGGCGAGUGGCGAACGGGUGAGUAAUAUAUCGGAACGUACCCUAGAGUGGGGGGAUAACGCAGCGAAAGUUGCGCUAAUACCGCAUACGAUCUACGGAUGAAAGUGGGGGAUCGCAAGACCUCAUGCUCAUGGAGCGGCCGAUAUCUGAUUAGCUAGUUGGUGGGGUAAAGGCCUACCAAGGCUUCGAUCUGUAGCUGGUCUGAGAGGACGACCAGCCACACUGGGACUGAGACACGGCCCAGACUCCUACGGGAGGCAGCAGUGGGGAAUUUUGGACAAUGGGCGCAAGCCUGAUCCAGCAAUGCCGCGUGCAGGAUGAAGGCCUUCGGGUUGUAAACUGCUUUUGUACGGAACGAAACGGUGAGCUCUAAUACAGUUUGCUAAUGACGGUACCGUAAGAAUAAGCACCGGCUAACUACGUG